CCAGAGCUAUGGAGUGUGACAAUGGUGUUUGUGUCCCGUCUAUCAAACGCCAUUAUCACACUAAAUAGCUCGUGUUGGGCAAUCCAUCUCUU
rnacentral:pre_miRNA from 1 species